GAGAUGGUCGGACACAGAGCAAACAUCAAAGCAACACAAGAAUCUUAAUAGGUACUUACAUUUGAGCUGAUAAAGGAAAGCACUGGCUUGCAUCUGGUCUUGUUUAAAUCACAAACAAACAGUGCAUAAUGCCAACAGACAACAAGCAGCCACGAAGUGAAUCAGCACCAAUGACUCUUCAAAGUCCAUGUGGGUAGACAGGCACAUGGGUAGGAAUUGAAGUCUCAGCCUUUGUAUAUUUAACACAAUCCUUGUGAAUGACAUCUUCUUGGAAAACAUCCAGAAACCUUGAUCACAGGAUGAACUUUUCUUGACUUUGUGAAACAUUAACAUCCAGUGCACCCAGGGACAUGGGUAUGCAUAUAAAUCUGCGCCACAAGUCUGUCUGUGUAUUUCUUUUAAAGACUGGCUUUAAAUACUCCCUGACAACAUAAGUGAAUACAUUUAUUUUUAACUCCGCUAGACACAGUGGGAUUUUUACUUUAUGAUACACUUUAAACAAUGUUUGUGUCUUUGAUUAAUUAAGUUGUUGCAGCUUUAAUAUUACUUUUUCCCCGGAUGACAUAAAAUAAGCAAGGUCAAUGUGAAUGGCUGAUUUUUGUACAUGCAAAAUAACAUUUAAAAGCUUUAGCUGGCAUCUAACAAAGUGUCCUGCAAUAUCUACUCAUGUAAAUGAUAUCUGUCCACAUCUAAUGAUCAUUAAUUCUAUGUAGGCUUGAUAAAAGUUCACAUAGGACACAUAAAGU